rnacentral:rRNA from 1 species
UACGUAAGUGGCGAGCGUUAUCCGGAAUUACUGGGCGUAAAGCGUUCGUAGGCGGUGCAGCAAGUUGGGUUUGAAAGCCCGGGGCUCAACUCCGGACCCGGAUCCAAAACUGCUGUACUGGAGCGUAUCAGGGGGCAGCGGAAUUCCCGGUGUAGCGGUAAUAUGCGUAGAUAUCGGGAGGAACACCAGUGGCGAAGGCGGCUGCCUGGGGUAUUGCUGACGCUGAGGAACGAAGGCCAGGGGAGCGAACGGGAUUAGAUACCCCGGUAGUCCUGGCGGUAAACGAUGGGCACUAGGUGUCAGGGGCUUCGACCCCCUUGGCGCCGCCGCUAACGCAUUAAGUGCCCCGCCUGGGGAGUACGGCCGCAAGGUUGAA